rnacentral:rRNA from 1 species
UACGGAGGGUGCAAGCGUUGUCCGGAUUUAUUGGGUUUAAAGGGUGCGUAGGUGGGAUGCUAAGUCUGGUUUGAAAGCAAGCGGCUUAACCGUUUGAUGUGGCUGGAAACUGGGAUUCUUGAAUUGGUUGGCGGUAGCCGGAACGGGUCAUGUAGCGGUGAAAUGCAUAGAUAUGACCCAGAACACCGAUUGCGAAGGCAGGCUACUACGACCGUAUUGACACUGAGGCACGAGAGCAUGGGUAGCGAACAGG